GACGAACGCUGGCGGCGUGCCUAAUACAUGCAAGUAGAACGCACAGUUUAUACCGUAGCUUGCUACACAAUAGACGGUGAGUUGCGAACGGGUGAGUAACGCGUAGGUAACCUGCCUGGGAGCGGGGGAUAACUAUUGGAAACGAUAGCUAAUACAGCAUAAUAUUUAUUAUUGCAUGUUAAUUAAUUCAAAGGUGCAAUUGCACCACUACCAGAUGGACCUGCGUUGUAUUAGCUAGUAGGUGAGGUAAAGGCUCACCUAGGCGAAGAUACAUAGCCGACCUGAGAGGGUGAUCGGCCACACUGGGACUGAGACACGGCCCAGACUCCUACGGGAGGCAGCAGUAGGGAAUCUUCGGCAAUGGACGAAAGUCUGACCGAGCAACGCCGCGUGAGUGAAGAAGGUUUUCGGAUCGUAAAGCUCUGUUGUAAGAGAAGAACGGGUGUGAGAGUGGAAAGUUCACACUGUGACGGUAUCUUACCAGAAAGGGACGGCUAACUACGUG
rnacentral:rRNA from 1 species